CUACGGGGGAGCAGCAGUGGGGAAUAUUGCACAAUGGGGGAAACCCUGAUGCAGCCAUGCCGCGUGUGUGAAGAAGGCCUUCGGGUUGUAAAGCACUUUCAGUAGGGAGGAAAGGUAAUAGUUUAAUAAACUAUUACUGUGACGUUACCUACAGAAGAAGGACCGGCUAACUCCGUGCCAGCAGCCGCGGUAAUACGGAGGGUCCGAGCGUUAAUCGGAAUUACUGGGCGUAAAGCGUGCGCAGGCGGUUUGUUAAGCCAGAUGUGAAAUCCCCGGGCUCAACCUGGGAAUUGCAUUUGGAACUGGCGAACUAGAGUCUUGUAGAGGGGGGUAGAAUUCCAGGUGUAGCGGUGAAAUGCGUAGAUAUCUGGAGGAAUACCGGUGGCGAAGGCGGCCCCCUGGACAAAGACUGACGCUCAUGCACGAAAGCGUGGGGAGCAAACAGGAUUAGAUACCCUGGUAGUCCACGCCGUAAACGAUGUCUACUCGGAGUUUGGUGACUUAGUCACUGGGCUCCCAAGCUAACG
rnacentral:rRNA from 1 species